rnacentral:lncRNA from 1 species
GAGGCUGACGACUUAUCACAAAUGUCGUCAGCUUUCUCUUUGCUUUGGACACUUGCUUCCUAAAGCUGACGACAAACGGUGACACCCUAUCAACUCCUUGACGACUUAUCACAAAUGUCGUCAAGUGUCUGCUUCAAUUCUCAUGUGUUGCCUUAGGCUGAUGGCAUUCUUGACGGCUUAUUAGCUCCUUGACGACCUAUCACAAAAUAUUGUCACAGCCUUCAAC